UGCCCUCCUCUCUCUCCCUCGCACACCACUCGUCGUCUCCUCCUCUCUCUCCCAGAUCCAUAUGCCGCCGCCGCCAUCCUCUCCCCUUCCCUCACCUCACCUUCUCUCUCAAGCCCCCCCCCCGAUGCCGAUGGCGACGGUCGUGCGGGUGCGCUGGCGACAGAUUGGCCAGCCAUGGCGGCGGUGCUGCCACAUCCGAUCCAAUCCGAGAGGCCCGCAGCGGACCUCACGGAUCCACCGCGAGCUCCUCGCUCCACCGCACACCACUCCUCUCUCUCCCCCGCGCAGCGAACCCUAGCGCUCCCCGAUCCAGAUCCCUCCCCUCCCCUAACCGCCAUCCACGCCGCUCGCCGCCGGCCUUGACCCCCUCCCUCCCUGCCCUCCGAACACUAUCGCCGGCCAGAUCCACUGGAGCCCCCACCCCUGCCUCUCUCUCAUGACCCAUCUCUCUCUCCCGUACUGCACGCCGCUGCCACAUGUGCCACCCAAUUCUAGCAUUCAUCGGUGACACACGGCACCACGCAGCAAGGGGCUCGCAUCGCUCCGACCAGAUCCGAUAGGCGCCUCACUGGCCUCGGAUCAGGCAUGCAUGACCCGGUACCGCCACCGUCACGCCCGUCGCUGAGAUCCAUGGCGUUGGCCCGUGGCUGGUGCCGGGAGGCUUGGAUUCAUGCGUGCCCCGGUUGUGGGUCCUGGCCGUCCUCGGCGUCGUGUCCUAAAGGUCUGCUCUCUGCGCCUCAGUCCCGAUUUGGUUUGCUCCCUCCCCUGCCAUGAUGCGGCCGGUUCUCUAUACACAGGUGCACAAGAGACCUCGUCUCCACUCCAAGGCCAUUUGUACUGGCAUGGAGGUUGCUUGCCGGCCAUCCAUGAUGGUAAAGACCACCAGCGGCAGCAGGGCCAGCAAGACGGCGGCCACCAUCAACCGCUUCUUCCUGUCCCCAUCACCUUCCUUCAGCCUUCUCCCACCGUCGCCAAUCAAGAUUUGGUGUGCAAAGGCACAAUUUCCUUCUAGGGCUUCAUCUGCAAAUCCACAAAAGUAUGAAAGGAUCAACUUGUCGAAGUGGUAGAAGAAGCUAGGGUGAAAAGAGCAAAGCAGAUCUCACCUGUGGGGAGCGAGGACUCCCGCAGCCAACCAGUUGCCAUAGGAUGAUUGUCUGAUUCCUUGCGUGAUGCCUUCCUUCUGCUCCAACAACGACGCCGUUCGCCGCGGCUCUCUGAUGUCCGCCGUAGAUCUUCUCCAACAACCACCGCUAUUCUGACCAUGACGCCUCCUUGACGACUUGCCGCUGAUCUCCGAGGAUCAGCCGCUGCUCUUCUCCAACAACGGGGCUGCUGCUGAUUCUCUCAAGCCCGGAACUGGGACCAGAGAGAAGAACAAUCAAGAUCCAGGGAACUCCCCUCUCUUUACUCUUGUCUCUGUGAUGUCUAGUUUCUCUCUUGAAUGCCAAGGAUCACAUAUCUAGUAGAAUCAAGUUGUUCUCACUUAAAUUCAAUCACUUACCAUGUGACACUGAUUUUUUGUUAAUACACUGUCCAAGUCAUGAAUUUCUUGAACUGGUGCAUGUAUAUAUUUGGGUGCUAGUCAACUAGAGAAUGUCUGUGAUACCAUGUUUGUACUAUGUGCUAGUGUAGCUGUACCGAUGCAAAUACUGCUUGUGUACUUAUGGAGUAGUAAAUAGCCUUUCAUGUCAUUCUCCAAGUCUGCACAUAUCAUUGUUAUUUUAGGAGCAGAUCUCUCAUCCUUGUUUGCAUAAGAAACCUGAACUUGCUUAAAAGCCAAUUUAGUUGUGUAUUACCAGUUCAAGUUGUUUAGUAUCUAUCAUGUUCUGUUUUGCUACCGAACACCUUCAACUUAAAUGUUGAAUUGCCUUGGUACACAUAAUUGUUUUUAAUCUAAGGGGAAGCCCUUAAUAGUCAGCUGACCUUAUGAACCGUAUAAAUAUAUCAAAAUCAUGUGUUGUUAAAUUGAGCUUAUUGUCAAUUGGCAACCUCGUAUUGUAGUAGCUAGACCAUCUUGCACCAUCCCUCUAAUAAAGAAUAAAUCAUGAUGUUUCUGCUGCCAUAACUUGUUUUCUUGUUUACCAUCCAGGUACAAUGGGACCAAGCUCAUCCUCCUCGUCCCUAGCUACUACACGACUGCCGUCCUGCAUACUCCCUCCUGUUCAUGGAGCAUCUGGACCUCUUCAUGGAGGUUUGAAGCAUCUGUCAGUCAAAUUUUGAAGCAGGCCAAUUGGAAGCGGCACCAAUUGGCAGUGAGAGGCAGAAGAGGAAUUGUGACACCGUGUUCCAUGCUCCUUCAGACAUGGAGUCCAGGCGGGCGCGGUUCCGUCACCCCGCGGACUCCAUUGGAGGAGGCCCCACCCCGCGUGUGGCCGACUUGGAGUUGGAGGGCUUCCUACCCCACGCCCCUUGUCUGCUCUGACGAUGGGUUCCUCCUGGCCGUGAUGAUGCCUGAGACCGGCCGCUACACCCACAAGAAGGACGACGGCAUCUGUAACAACGUCUGCAACAAGGUAAAAUGGGGCCAAGCUCAUCCUCCUCGUCCCUAGCUACUACACAACUGCCAUCCUGUAUAUUCCCUCCAGUUCAUGGAGCAUAUGAACCUCUUACUUUUGUAGCUGGUGAAUGAGGCUUUCAAAUGUUGAAGGAGGAGGACAAUAGGAACUUCUAUUAUGUCUUAUCGUCUAAAUUUCUGUUCUAAUUGUCUUUUUCUUAGAAUAGUUUUGUUUGGCACUUACUGUUCCUGGGAUGUAAAGUAUGUAUUGCUAGAAUGAAUGCUUGUAAUAUUAGCAAUAUCAUAUUUUGGGCUCCUAUAACAUUGCACGUUGCUUUGAAAAUGCAUCAGAACUGGGCUAGGCCCAAGAUAGCUUGCGGUGUGAUGUGUUGUAAUGUCAAUGGUAUAAUAAUUUUUUUGGAUUGGAUCAA